CACGCUCCGAAGCCUCGAUACAGAACGUCCCAUCACUAUUUUACACUACAGACCAGUUGACAGCGUGCAAUAACCAUUCAUCUUUACACUACCUCACAAUCGACUCAACGGUCAGGUUUUUUUUUUCUCUCCCGCGAUCAGCCCUGAUCAGCGCGAGAUGGCGAGCCACCCGACCACCGCUACGUUGCGGUAGGAAUCGUAAACCUAUGGACUGAAUUAAACUGUUGACACAUGACCUAUCACAGGUCUAUGGAACUAAACUAAAUCUCAUACUGGACUACACCUCAUCCCACCUCCUUUUGGAACCUAAUAAGCUGUUUUGUAUUGUCAACAUUAUUUUUGUUUGUGAUAUAUAUGCAUAUUUAUUUAUUUUUUGUACAUCUGUCUAUACAUGUCUCAUAACAAACAUAAUAUAUAUAUAUUUUGAGCUCUACUUUGGUUUCCUGUGUUUUAUUCACACACUCAGUGUGCUGUGUGUGUGUGUGUGUGUGUGUGUGUGUGUGUGUGUGUGUGUGUGUGUUUGUGUGUGUGUGUUUGUGUGUGUGUGUGUUUGUGUGUGCUGUUUGUUGGGGUUUUUAUAUUGUUUUAUCUUUUUUUUUUUUUCCCUGUUUGUUUUCAGCAGAUCACAGGGCAGCACUCUUGGCAAAAACAAGAGUACGCAAAAUCUGCUUCUAAAUCAAUAAAGGCAGGUGUACUGAUGUGACUGUGUUAGGAAGGUCAUGUAGUUCUCACCUGGAGUCUUUUCUUAUAAACUGCAAACCUUUUAGUUUAAGGAGCUUGGAAAGAAAAGUGGUUGGACUUCUUUAAGUUUCUUCAAGACGUUUCUCCUCUCAUUGGAUAAGCUUCGUCAGUUCUUCAGAUUCCCAGGUAUUUAAGCUCUACUGGGAGUUGUCCCUUAAGAGAGUCGUUCAUGUGCCUCAUCACAUGAGUCAAGGUGUGAUUAUAUAUAAGGCCCUGUCAUGACAAUGACUGAUGUAUAUUGCAUAUACUGCCUAUUUUUUAAAACAAUUCAUU
ensembl:lncRNA